rnacentral:lncRNA from 1 species
AGAUAAAACUCUGACUUGUGCAAAAGUCAUAUUCCUCUCACUGCGUCCCAGUUUAACCUCUCCGCUCCUAGCUGCAGCUUGUUGCGUCAUUAUGAAUAUUCAAAUCACAGAAAGAAAGAAAGAAGAGAAACACUUCAUGCAUUUAUAUCAGCUGCAGAUCCAUAGAGACGAGGAACCAUGCUGCUUAAAACCCAAAUGUUCUGCAGUGCGUUCUUGACUUUUGAAUCUCCUGAGAGUUAAUCAAAGGAGUCGUGAGAGAUGUGUUUCAACGCUGCAAAAAGCUCAGUAAAGUUAUGAAUUUUUUGUGGUUAAAUGGCGGAAAAAGGAAAGCAGAAACACUUCUCUUCCAAAUAAAAGACAAACUUAAAUUCAUUUUAUCAUCAUUGCCUUUAUAUGAGAUGUUCAAACUGUAUUUAUUCCUAUCAGGAAUAAUGGUGUAAACAUGGCUGACAGAGUGAAUACAGACCUAACAAAGUAUCACAGUAAUGACCGGUUAUUGAGGUACUUUUCAAACAUUUCACAAUAGAAAUCCAAAUCUUUCUGCUCCAUACCGUACUGCAGCAGUUUAUUUGGUGGAAAUGCACCUUUAGUUGUGGUAUCUAUGUACUUAAGGGAGAGAGACUGUUGGGAGUGGGUUAGUCCAGUCUCACUGUGGGAACAAUAGGAGCACAAACACAUGAUGGGAGGAGGUUAAGAGAAGCACUGGAGGUGUUAUGGAUGGUUUCAUGUCUUGACUCUUCUGUUUAGGGUUUCAGCUCUGAAUCCUGCUUCACACACACUCAUUAGUUCUUGGUCAACCAGGUGGGAAUACUGGGAGAAUUAUCUGCACAUUUGUAGUGAUGAGGAAACCUGCACAAUGUCUCAAAACGAGUUCAAAAUGAGGACUAAUUUGUUCCAGGUUUCGUAUCAUGUGGCAGCAGAAUUUGUGCUCAAACUCAGAAACAUUCAGUACAGUGAGGAAUAAUCUGUUAUUCCCCUCCUGAAUACUGGAACAUAUUGUAUCCCGGUGCUGCUCUCUGCACGUGUUACUGUAAUGGUCUCGGUCUGGAUGCAAACAUUAAACCCCCUUUAGAGACUGAGUGUGAACACGUUUUGCUUGAUGCUCUUCCUGAAUCUUCAGAAACAUGGCCACCUGCCUGCCAGCCUGAACAGUUUCCAUUACUCCACGCUCUCACGGGCUGGGUGGCGUGCCAGGUUCAGCCGCUCCCUCUUCCCAUGGCCCUCGGCUGCCCGAUGACCGAUACGCUGCAGCGCAGUGACAGAACGGGAAGGGCUUUCAGGGGUCACAUGUUCCCAAACAUCCAUGUCAGACCGCCUGACUUCCCAGACCGCUGUGGUUCUGGAAUCAUUAUCAGGAGAGGAGGGACUAAAGCUGUUUGUGACAGCACCUGCAGAUCAGACAGGUGUGAACAUGAGUGUGGAUAUGAAUCUGAGACGGUUAGAGUUUAUUUGUCUUCUUUUAGUUUAGAUGUUUGUAAAAGUCAUUUUCAGGUCUCACAAAUCCACUCACUUUCUAAUGCAAAUUAAACCGUCACUAUAAAAAUCCUGCAUGUCUUUGGACCAUGGGUUUGUUUUCAAACAGCAACUAAAGGAUAAAUACAAAAUAAAAGACAUGUGCCAAAGUUUAAAAAGCUGUACACUUUUUGACCAAGACAACCUAGAGUAGAAAAAUUUGUCCAUUUAAAACAUUAUCAUAAAAGUUCCAACUCUUAUAAGUGUAUUCUGAUGAAAUUACAACUUUAUCCUGGAAAUUUCCAAAAUUAUCCUUAAAAAAUUCCAACUAGAAUCUUCAGAGACAUACCAAGACUAAAAAAAUAUAUAUACCUGAAAACAUAUAGCCUUAUACACAAAAAAUACAUUACGUUCUUAAAAUUGUACAACUUUAUCAUCCAGAAAUUCUGUGAUUAUCCCUCAAAACUUUUAAAUUCACCCCCCACCAAUCUGAAUUCAUUCUGAGAUAUAAAAAAAAAUGGGUCCAAUUUUAAACUUUAACUCUAUCCUUGAAACAUUCAAGCUUUAUCCACCAACACCUACAUUUUUAUUCACAGCAGAAAUUUGCUUGAGGAGUGACGAUAGUCCUUAAAACUACGUACAGCUUUACCCAGGGAAAAACAACAUUUUUAUCAUGAAGAGAAAAUAACUUGAUCCUUUAUCCUUAAAAACAAAAAUAUUUUUUUCUGGACAAAUUUAAACCUUUUCCUUUCCCACCCACUCUACCAAGAAUGUCAUCAGUAAAAUAUUACAGCUAAUCUUUUGGACAACAGAAAGAAAUUCAACCUAUAUUAAGACAAAUUGUACAACUUUAUCAUUUAUUUCGUUAGAUCACCACCAUAAAAUCUUUAAACGAAUCAUGACAAACAGCACCCAUCUCCCCCGUCUGUGAGCAGUAACGUUUUUUUGGGAUAGGGGUUUUGGUUGAGGGCACUUGAGUGAGGGUAAUGGGUGGGAAUAUUCGGGUGGGGUUUCAGUGGCAGACGUCCAGGCUCUUCUCAGGAAACUGAAUCAGGCUGGGAGUGGUUCCCUUUCCCUUAUCGCCGUAUCCUGUCCUCCACUCUAUGACGAUGGCACUUUUAACACCGUUCACACCCUCAGCAGGCACACUGACCCCGACUGAUCAGACUGACUCUUUACACACUCUUCAAUCUGCCUGAACACACACACAAACACAUAUUCACACAUCUCCUGCUGAAUACGCACUCACAGACGGUGGAGCUUUAAGAGUCUGUUUCCUGUUUUAUGAGCGAACAAGGGAUCAAAGAGUGAAAGACUGAAAUACACAAAGAAACGAGCCAGUGGACGAGUGAGCGGAGAGGAAACUGAAGCUUCAGACCUGAUGUUGAGUCUGAAGCAGAUCAACAGGAACAUUUCAGAGUUUUUUCCCUGAGUUUGGUUUAUGUUCUGGAAAUUCUGCUGUUAGAGUUCAUACACAGAGAGCUGGAGGCCUCUGGACAGAGAUUAUUCAGCCUGUUACAUAAUAACUUUAUCAGCAUACAUAGGUAUGGGUUUAAAAUUGAUUACAUAAUGCCUAUACCAGCACUUUGAGUUAUGGAUUUAUAGUGUAUAAAACAGGGUGAAACUGCUGACUGAAAUGAAAGAAUCAGAGAUUUUAAGAAUAAAUUUUUGAAUAACAUCAAAACAAAACAAAAUUUUAAGAGAAUAGAAGCUGAAUAAACAACAAUAAAGUUUAAGGGGAAAAAUAAAAUUUGGUAUUUUACAAAAAAUAAAAUAAAAAUUUAUAGGAAUGACAUUUUUAAAAGUUAAAGAGUAAAGUUGUAGUUUUAUACUGCUGCCUUCCCUGCCUCUGGAAACAAGACAAAUGCACGGAUUAAAAGUGUGCUCUACCCAUCUCAGGUACGUAAAGGGCAGGAAGCUCUCAGAACAAACCCUUUGUUGCUGUUCUCCCCACCUUAACUCUUCAUGUAUGCACAUAAAACAGAAGGGAGGUGUGAAAAGAGCUCUUAGAUUAAAGCCGUGAGGAUCUGUUCUGCUGCUCUCUAACUGCUAACUGUAAUUUACUGUAAUGAUUAAUUUCUUGAGGAUACAUUUGACAGAAUUGAAAAGUUAGACUUUGACUUUGAUGUGAAGAAGGAAAAGUUGAGAAUGACUCUAUCCACUUCUGUUUUCUCGAUAAAAAUGUACACUUCAUAUGUUGUUUUUGUCAUUUAAAUCUCCAAGUCUUGGCUGUACUCUGCUGCAUAUUUUAUCUGUACAGUCAUCCUAUUUCUCAGUGUGUUUAUGAUUUCAGCCUGACUCUCUCUGAGUAGGUUUACAGCUUCAUAUGCUGACCAGCUGUGUCAUGAAGUGACUCCAAAACAUCCUGAGAGCUCACAGGGAGAAAACAGCCUGUACUCAGACCGUUACAUAACCUGACCUUUGAGCCGCUGCACUCUCUUUUAUCUCUGUUUAAACAGGAGCUCACAUUUAGCUCUGUUUAAAGGGAAUCAUCGCUUCUCUGAAGAUUGACUGCUUUGUUUAUUCUACCUGUUCGAGUCUCUGAGCUUUGAGACAAAUCUGGCUUCUCAUGUUUAGGUUUUAUGUUUCUGAUCAGGGGUAUUAGGAGAGUGCCUGCAGACAAAUCUCAGGGCAAACUGUGCAGAAAAGGCUGCAUGUCUUUGGCUUGUCUUUAAUCCCUCUCCACGUUUACAGAUUUCCCUUCAAAGACGGUUUAUCUCUAAUUAAACAUUAUUAAAGUCCUUCUGAUGUGAAAUCCUUGCGACAUAAAAGAGCUGCUGCCGGAAAAUCAGCUGCAGAAAAAAAAAAAACGUAAAGGACAAAUCUGCUUUCAGUUAUCAGGGUCUUAUGACAUGAUUUCCUCGAUUUGCUGUCUGUGUUCCUGCUGAUAAUGAUAAAAUUAAGUUUAUGUGAGUGCAGCAUCCUGUUUACAUUGUACCUCAUUUUACACACACAGUAUCUUAUUCUUCAUUUUAAAUUUAUAUGGCCUCAUUGAUUUGACUUUGUUGAACUCUUUGCCCAGGAAGUCUCUCACAAAAUGUCAAACCUCCUCUGUUCCUUUCUGCAGAGUUGCUCAGCCUCUAUGAAAUCCCUCAAUUAUACUCAGAUGUUCAAACGUGGAAGUUGCUAAGUGUUAAUGUAAGCUGAGUACUGAUUGGUUAAUAAGUUUAUUUGUAGCUGUUCAUCAGUUUGGGAGCUGUGACGCGCAAAAUCAUUUAUGAAGGUUUGGUUGAAUUCAGACCUAAACAGCAGAAAGUCUUGAAAACUGUGUUUGGACUUACGAUACGAUACAAUACGAUACAAUACGAUACAAUACGAUACGAUAUGAUACGAUACGAUACGAUACGAUAUGAUACGGUACAAAACAAUAUAACAUGAUAUGAUAC